rnacentral:rRNA from 1 species
UGUAAGCGUAUACCAAAGUUGUUGCAGUUAAAACGCUCGUAGUCGGAAUUUGGCAGUUCCGGAUGUGUGCACGUCGUGUGCGCACUUCGCGGGGAUUGCUUUUGUGGUCUUGCGUAGGAUGAGGCACUUUUAUUAGUGAACGUCCUCACGCAACCACUUUUUACUGUGAGAAAAUCAGAGUGCUCAAAGCAGGCAUUUGCCGUGAAUGUAUUAGCAUGGAAUAAUAGAAUAGGACUUGGUUCUAUUUUGUUGGUUUGUUGGGACUGUGUAAUGAUUAAGAGGGACAGUUGGGGGCAUUUGUAUUUCGGUGCUAGAGGUGAAAUUCUUAGAUUACCGAAAGACAAACUGCUGCGAAAGCGUCUGCCAAGGAUGUUUUCAUUGA